rnacentral:rRNA from 1 species
UACGUAGGGUGCAAGCGUUGUCCGGAUUUAUUGGGCUUAAAGGGUGCGUAGGCGGCCCUGUAAGUCAGUGGUGAAAUACUCCAGCUUAACUGGAGGGGUGCCAUUGAUACUGCAGGGCUUGAGUUAAGUUGAAGUUGGCGGAAUUGACGGUGUAGCGGUGAAAUGCUUAGAUAUCGUCAAGAACACCGAUAGUGAAGACAGCUAACUAAACUUUUACUGACGCUGAGGCACGAAAGUGUGGGGAUCAAACAGG